GAUGAACGCUGGCGGCGUGCCUAAUACAUGCAAGUCGAGCGAAUGGAUUAAAAGCUUGCUCUUAUGAAGUUAGCGGCGGACGGGUGAGUAACACGUGGGUAACCUGCCCAUAAGACUGGGAUAACUCCGGGAAACCGGGGCUAAUACCGGAUAACAUUUUGAACCGCAUGGUUCGAAAUUGAAAGGCGGCUUCGGCUGUCACUUAUGGAUGGACCCGCGUCGCAUUAGCUAGUUGGUGAGGUAACGGCUCACCAAGGCAACGAUGCGUAGCCGACCUGAGAGGGUGAUCGGCCACACUGGGACUGAGACACGGCCCAGACUCCUACGGGAGGCAGCAGUAGGGAAUCUUCCGCAAUGGACGAAAGUCUGACGGAGCAACGCCGCGUGAGUGAUGAAGGCUUUCGGGUCGUAAAACUCUGUUGUUAGGGAAGAACAAGUGCUAGUUGAAUAAGCUGCACCUUGACGGUACCUAACCAGAAAGCCACGGCUAACUACGUGCCAGCAGCCGCCGCUG
rnacentral:rRNA from 1 species